GGAUAUCAGAAUUCCCAGAAGGGAGCUGAGGAAACAUGUAAGUUGUAUCCUUCUGGAUAGGAGUUCCAGGAGGGCCUUGUAAGGCCAAGAACAGCUGCUCUAAACAGAGUCAGACUGCUUCAUCUCCAAGAGCUGGAAAGAGGGACCAGAGGAAACUGUAGCCCGGAGAAGGGGCCCCAAGUGUGUCUUGCCUGAAACCACACAGCUGGGUGCUGGCAGGUUCUAGGCUAGAUGCCAGGAUUCCUUGCAAUCUAGACCAGGGAUCUCUCCAGUAACGACCCCAGCCUUGAAUCCUCUACUGACUGGCUUUGAGGAUGGGGGAUUUGCAUCCUGCUGCCAGCUCUGAGACUCACUCCCAGUCUUGGGUCAGUGUCCAGGUUUGCAGACACCAAUGCAAAGGAGGACUGGCGUGUGCAGCUUAUAGGAAUUCAGGAGCCACCUGUUAGCGGGCACCUCUGUCGUGCCAGGCACCAUACUAGGCUUCUGGGCAUCUGGCACAGCACACACGAUUUUAUUUGUUCUUCACCCAAAUACUACAAUGAGAAUCUUCCUGUUUCCACGGUCAUGAGAAGGAGCUCAGCAACACAUUCAGCAUCAGUCAGCGGAAAAGUGUUGGAGCUGGGUUUAAUGCUGAUUCUCUUCGGUUACCUUGCACAUGAGAAUCUUAAAAGAGAAACCAAGUCCCGACACCUCUCCAAGGUUUAGGAAAAGCUAUUAGGGACGAGGCUGGACUGGGACAUCUGUCCACUUGGGAGAAACAGGGCUGCCCUGUGGGGAACCCUAUGUCCCGUGGCUGCUCUGCCCUAGGGUUAGGGUGCUGUGUUGUGGGAGGGUACUAAGUGGCCCUGGCUCCAGGGCUAAGAGGGCCUCUCCUUCUCUUGGUUCCGGGAGCCGUGACUUCACUGUGUGCUACCAGCUGUGGUGAGCAGUAGGGAGAGUCCAGUCCAGUCCUGAGUGCAACCCCCAGAUGGUUGAUCCCGGAGGCCAGGUGCACGAUGGAUGUCUGUAGUUACCAGAGCCUGGCAUUUGGGGGCUCUUGAAUGCAACUCACUAAGGUGAUACUGGAAAGUCUCUCGAGUGCCUUGAGGUUGGUUGUUGGGCAUCUGAGGAGGAGCGCUCAGCCUUAGGAGCAGACAGUCUGGCCUCUGCAGACAUCCUCUGUUCACCCAGGAAGGGGCUGGGCCACCACACUGCAUCCUUCUGCCUGGCCGUCCCCUCCGCCCCUCCUCCACCUUAUAUAAUGGCACAUUAUACAACAUUGCAAAGCAGGUGGUAUUUUUAAAGACAGCAAGUGAGCAUUUUUUUGGCCUAAAUUUGGGAAUGAAACAGAUGGAUUUUUAAGACUCUGAGCUUUUCCUAUGAAUAGUAACCCUUGUUCUCCUCUGCUUUUAAACACCAGUUUCAAGACCACCUCUAGCAACCAAUCAGCACUCUAUUUAAUUAUAACAAAAUUCUUAGCUCUGUCUGCUGCUGCUCGGACAAGUGGGGGGCACUGGAUCAAUUUCUGGAGCCAGGCAGACUUGCCAACAACAAUUUUCUUUUUCCCAGAGGGCCUCGGAGGCCGGCAGCAGGUUCCAAGCCCUUCCUCUCCUGCCCGCUCGGCGUGGGCUCCUUGACAGCGAGUUUGAAAAGGGUUACAGAGAGGCAGAUAAAUGCCCGGCUUGUUGCAGCCUUCCUGACAGCGCCGACCCCCGCGCCAGUGAGCUCAUGCCCGCCUCAUUACGCGUGGUGCCAGAUUUUUUCCAUUAACAGGUAAUUGAGUAGAAACUAAAAUAAGCGAAGUUUGUUCAUCCCUUGGAUUUUCUUGCCGGGGUUUGAAAGAAAAACACUUUAGCUUCGUUAGUGGAGGAGUGUCCUUGAAAACGUAUUUAUGUUUUCCAAGUGAUUUGUCGCUUGGUAGGUGUAAUGAGCCCGUUCCCCUGGCCUCUCCCUUCUUGUUUUUCUUCUUUAAGGGCCAUGAUGUUCAGAGAAUAGGAGCUGGUUUCCUGGGCCCCUGGCUGUCUGUAUGCUCUGUUCAUGGUAGAGAGCUUAUUUUUCUCUCUUCUCUCUCCCUAUUGCACUCGCAUGGUGUGCGUGCACACACACCCUGGAAAAUCACCCAUAGAAGCCUGUUGAUGGAUCACACAGUCUUAGCCUGCAACCUACAGGGCCCAGCUGUCAGGUGCCCUCAGGACGACUGGCCCCGCCCCCAGGGGCCCCAGGCUGGCCCCGCCCCCAAGCGUCCCAGGCCAGCCCCGCCCCCGUCUCCGUGCCCUGCGCCUGCGCGCAGGUGCUCCAGGUGGAUGGCCUGCCCCUCUGAGGGGCAUUCAGAAGCAAAGCGAGGAACAGAUGUGUGAGCCCUGAGGUCUCCAGUCUUCCUGUUUCCCAUCUUGCUGGGCUCCUAUCUCAGCUGGUCUGUUUUCAGCUUCAUGAAGAAGAUUCCUCAUCACUGCCCAGCCCCAAGUUCUCCGUUAGGGUUGGAGCUUCGGAUGAGAUGUGUGUGUGUGUUUGGUACUUGAAAUACAGAGAAAGAGAAGGGAUGGGCAUAGGAAGUAUGCAAGCCAAGGAGAGAAGCCUCAGGAGAAACCAACCCUGCUGACAUCUUGACCUUGGACUUCCAGCCUCCAGAACUGUGAAAAAAUACAUUUGUGGACUUUAUCUUCUCCAGGGAGAGUGGAUGGAGGCAAGAGCAGGCCUGUGAUGC
ensembl:lncRNA